UCUUUAACCUAAUUUCCUAGCCCAUAAUUCCUAGGCCCAUACCUCGAACCUAAUCCAUACCCCUAUAUAAUAGUAUUUAACACCCAAAUAUAGAAACUCAACAAGGACUUUCAUCUUCCUCACCUAUAGCUCCAUUCAAGAUUAGCCACAAAUAGCCAUGAAAACUAGACACUAAAACUCCAUGGAAACAACCCAAAAGAGCUCCAAAAAGCCAUAGAAAAUCAGCUGAAACUCCCAUAAACACAGCUCCAAAGAAGCAGCCAAAAACACUGCAAUUCAGCCACCGAACGCUCCCGAAAUAGAUCAAAACAGCAGCUGAAGUUCUGCACAAAAAACAGCUCCAAGCAGCUGCAUAAUCACACCAAAAACGACCCCCAUAAUAGUAGUGAAAUCGCCUCUUUUUCCCCUCAGAAAAUAAUCCGAAAACCAUCACGACAACUGUCGUCUUUCAUCCAAAACCAGCAGCUCCUUCCUACUAUGUCAAUCACUACAAACAAGCUGAGUUCGAGGCCGUAGGUUCGUUGGUUCCGUUCAUUGUUCACGGUUUCUAUCGCAGAUUUGGAGUAUUUUCAGUCGAGUUAGUGGCAUCAGAUUCAUGUGUACCUGUUGGACUUUUCUCUUGUUUAAUAAAGAAGUCUCGCACCAGAGGUUCCACUUUUAUCCUUCUUCAAGUUUUAUGUUUUUCUGUGAUAUUAAAUAUGAU
rnacentral:lncRNA from 1 species